rnacentral:tRNA from 1 species
GCGGAAAUGGUGGAACUGGCAGACACACUUGAUUUAGGCUCAAGAUAUUGAGGGUUCGACUCCCUCUUUCCGUACAA